AUCAUUUCCCUUCCACCUUCCUCCUCGCCGCUUCCUCUCCCUCCACCGCGCAGCUCCAGCCGCCUUGCCGCCGCCGCAUCCCCUUCCAAGUUCAGGCUGUGGGUGGAACCUGUUGCUUUAGCUCACGUUUCCCUUCCCCUCCGGGCUGCACGCUGAGGAUGACCUCAGCGAGGUUUGGCUUCCUUGAGACAGAGGAUCUUGCUCGCCUCAAAGAGGAGGGCAGUUUGCCCCCUUCCUCCUGACUCCAAGACAAAAGAGAGAAGACUGAAGAGUGGGAAGAGGUCAAAGGAAUAUCUUUAAAAGGGAUCCAGGGCCUCUCAGAGUUCACCUGAGCUUUCCCAAGUCUGGUUUGUUCUCUCUACCCUGCUGCUACUACUGCAAGUGACUUUCACAAGAUGCUUCUGAGCAUAGCAUUGCUCUGCUGUGACCACUGCAGAUGUCAAGAGAAUUUCUGCCUUUUGGAACUUGGACAAUAUUGGCCACCUACCCAGAGAGAGGAGAAGGAUAAUCCAGACAUAAAGGUAGCUCCCACACAUCCUUUGGAUCUCUGAUAAAGAGUCAUAUACUUAAAGAGCCAUCCUCACAUUCCUGCCCAGACUGUGAGCUGCAUGAGAGAGGCCAUGUCUCAUUUUGUUCCAUUACAUCUCCAGCACUUAAGAGUGCUGGACACAUAACGAGUGUCUGACACAUAACGAGUGCUGAAUAAAUGUUUGUUAACUGAUAAAAUG
rnacentral:lncRNA from 1 species